GUGCCAGCAGCCGCGGUAAUACGAAUGGGGCAAGCGUUGUUCGGAAUCACUGGGCGUAAAGCGUACGUAGGCGGCUAUUCAAGUCAGAAGUGAAAGCCUGGGGCUCAACCCCAGAACUGCUUUUGAAACUGGAUGGCUAGAGUCCCGGAGAGGUUGGCGGAAUUCCGAGUGUAGAGGUGAAAUUCGCAGAUAUUCGGAGGAACACCAGUGGCGUAGGCGGCCAACUGGACGGGAACUGACGCUGAGGUACGAAAGCGUGGGGAGCAAACAGGAUUAGAUACCCUGGUAGUCCACGCCGUAAACGAUGUGUGCUAGUUGUUGGGCCCUCAGGGUUCAGUGACGGAGCUAACGUUUUAAGCACACCGCCUGGGGAGUACGGCCGCAAGGUUAAAACUCAAAUGAAUUGACGGGG
rnacentral:rRNA from 1 species